rnacentral:tRNA from 4 species
GGGCGAUUAGCUCAGUUGGUAGAGCAUCUCGUUUACACCGAGAGGGUCCUAGGUUCGAGUCCUUGAUCGCCCACCA